GACGAACGCUGGCGGCGUGCUUAACACAUGCAAGUCGAACGGAAAGGCCCUGCUUUUGUGGGGUGCUCGAGUGGCGAACGGGUGAGUAACACGGGAGUAACCUGCCCUUGACUUUGGGAUAACUUCAGGCAACUGGGGCUACUACCGGAUAGGAGCUCCUGCUGCAUGGGGGGGGUUGGAAAGUUUCGGAGGUGGGGGAUGGACUGGGGGCUUAUCAGCUUGUUGGGGGGGUAGCGGCUUACGGAGGGUUUGGCGGGUAGCCGGCCUGGGAGGGUGACCGGCCACAUUGGGCCUGAGAUACGGACCAGACUGCUACGGGGGGCAGCAGGGGGGAAUAUUGCACAAUGGGCGGGAGCGUGAUGCAGCAACGCCGCGUGCGGGAUGAAGGCCUUCGGGUUGGAAAGCGCAUUCACCUAUGACGAAGCGUGAGUGACGGUAAUGGGAAAAGAAGCACCGGCUAACUACGUG
rnacentral:rRNA from 1 species